rnacentral:rRNA from 1 species
AGACAGCUAGGAGGUUGGCUUAGAAGCAGCCACCCUUUAAAGAAAGCGUAAUAGCUCACUAGUCGAGUCGGCCUGCGCGGAAGAUGUAACGGGGCUCAAACCAUACACCGAAGCUACGGGUAUCACGUAAGUGAUGCGGUAGAGGAGCGUUCUGUAAGCCUGUGAAGGUGAGUUGAGAAGCUUGCUGGAGGUAUCAGAAGUGCGAAUGCUGACAUGAGUAACGACAAUGCGAGUGAAAAACUCGCACGCCGAAAGACCAAGGUUUCCUGCGCAACGUUAAUCGACGCAGGGUUAGUCGGUCCCUAAGGCGAGGCUGAAAAGCGUAGUCGAUGGAAAACAGGUUAAUAUUCCUGUACUUCCAGUUAUUGCGAUGGAGGGACGGAGAAGGCUAGGCCAGCUUGGCGUUGGUUGUCCAAGUUUAAGGUGGUAGGCUGGAAUCUUAGGUAAAUCCGGGAUUUCAAGGCCGAGAGCUGAUGACGAGUUGCCUUUAGGCGACGAAGUGGUUGAUGCCAUGCUUCCAAGAAAAGCUUCUAAGCUUCAGAUAACCGGGAACCGUACCCCAAACCGACACAGGUGGUUGGGUAGAGAAUACCAAGGCGCUUGAGAGAACUCGGGUGAAGGAACUAGGCAAAAUGGCACCGUAACUUCGGGAGAAGGUGCGCCGGUGAGGGUGAAGGACUUGCUCCGUAAGCUCAUGCCGGUCGAAGAUACCAGGCCGCUGCGACUGUUUAUUAAAAACACAGCACUCUGCAAACACGAAAGUGGACGUAUAGGGUGUGACGCCUGCCCGGUGCCGGAAGGUUAAUUGAUGGGGUUAGCUAACGCGAAGCUCUUGAUCGAAGCCCCGGUAAACGGCGGCCGUAACAAUAACGGUCCUAAGGUAGCGAAAUUCCUUGUCAGGUAAAUUCUGACCCGCACGAAUGGCGUAACGACUUGGGCGCUGUCUCAACGAGAGAUCCGGUGAAAUUUUAAUACCUGUGAAGAUGCAGGUUACCCGCGACAAGACGGAAAGACCCCAUGGAGCUUUACUGCAGCUUGAUAUUGGACUUUGGUACGAUCUGUACAGGAUAGGUGGGAGCCUUAGAAGCCGGAGCGCCAGCUUCGGUGGAGGCACCGUUGGGAUACCACCCUGAUCGUAUCGGAGUUCUAACCUGGUACCGUGAAACCGGUACAGGGACCGUGUCAGGCGGGCAGUUUGACUGGGGCGGUCGCCUCCUAAAAUGUAACGGAGGCGCCCAAAGGUUCCCUCAGAAUGGUUGGAAAUCAUUCGCAGCGUGCAAAGGCAUAAGGGAGCUUGACUGCGAGACCUACAAGUCGAGCAGGGACGAAAGUCGGGCUUAGUGAUCCGGUGGUACCGAAUGGAAGGGCCAUCGCUCAACGGAUAAAAGCUACCCUGGGGAUAACAGGCUUAUCUCCCCCAAGAGUUCACAUCGACGGGGAGGUUUGGCACCUCGAUGUCGGCUCAUCGCAUCCUGGGGCUGAAGUAGGUCCCAAGGGUUGGGCUGUUCGCCCAUUAAAGCGGUACGCGAGCUGGGUUCAGAACGUCGUGAGACAGUUCGGUCCCUAUCUGUCGUGGGCGCAGGAAAUUUGAGAGGAGCUGUCCUUAGUACGAGAGGACCGGGAUGGACGUACCGCUGGUGUACCAGUUGUUCCGCCAGGAGCACCGCUGGGUAGCUACGUACGGACGGGAUAAGCGCUGAAAGCAUCUAAGCGCGAAGCCCCCCUCAAGAUGAGAUUUCCCAGUAUGUAAGACCCCUGGUAGACGACCAGGUUGA